rnacentral:lncRNA from 1 species
AUUUCGAUUAUGAUAUCCACAUAUGAUUGACAAGGCUGACAUUCUCAUCACCUAAUAAAAGAGGGAAAAAGAAGAAGAAGAAGAAAUGAAGAUAUAUAGUAUAGCAGCUAUAGGUAAAGAACAUACAAAAAUGUACAUUUGGCUUCAGGUCAGCACUAUGCAGCCAUGGUAAUUCAAAGGCGCAUGUAUAUUAUCAUGUCCUCAAAUCUUGCUUUUUCCAAAAAGUUCUAGAAUUAUGCCAGAUGCUACCAAGGCUUCAGGUCACCCGGUGGUCCAGCGGUCCAGUUCAGGACCCUCUGCCCGGGCUUGAGGAAGACGUUGUCACCGUGCGGGAGCUUGCGCGCGAGCCCGUUCAGGAUCUGGUGGAAUGCAUCUCCCGCCUGAGCAGGCUGGGGGAACAGCAUGGCCU